GGGCCAUCAAGGACGAUGGUCC
rnacentral:misc_RNA from 1 species